rnacentral:rRNA from 1 species
GUUUACCUACGGGGCGCAACAGUGAGGAAUAUUGGUCAAUGGGAGAGAUCCUGAACCAGCCACGCCGCGUGAGGGAAGACGGCCCUAUGGGUUGUAAACCUCUUUUGUCGGAGAACAAAACCCGGGACGAGUCCCGGACUGCGUGUAUCCGAAGAAAAAGCAUCGGCUAACUCCGUGCCAGCAGCCGCGGUAAUACGGAGGAUGCGAGCGUUAUCCGGAUUUAUUGGGUUUAAAGGGUGCGUAGGCGGUCCGUUAAGUCAGCGGUAAAAUUGCGGGGCUCAACCCCGUCGAGCCGUUGCAACUGG